AUAAGGUUUACUAUCCUGCACUGGGAACUAGAGUUGCUUCGUUCAGUGUCUAAUUCAGCAGUACAGCACAAGAUGCUGCCUGACUGUUUCCAGGGGCUUCCGUUGAUAGCUGUUCCACAGUGGCAGGCACUGAGUUAACACCUCAGGAGGUGGUCAACCAGAGGACUCAGUUUUAAGCACAGAUAAAAGCCCAGCGUGGACUGGAAAAAUGAGCUUUGCAAACUUUGCAGGACUUGGACCAGGUUCUGACCCUCCCAAGAUCCGGACAUGAAACAAACCAGAGCCCUUCCCUGAUGCACAAGGCACUCUGAGCACCAGUGUAUGGGGCUCACCCAGCCUCAACUCUGUACCUUCCUCAAUCUGGAUGUCCCAUCUCAAAAUCAG